rnacentral:snRNA from 1 species
ACUCAUACCUGGCAGGGGAGAUACCAUUGUUAUAAAAGUGGUUUUCCCAGGGUAAGGCUCAUCCAUUGCACACCCUGUGAUUUCCCCAAAUGUGGGAAAAUCCACUUCCUAAUUUGUGGUAGUGGGGGACUGCAUUUGUGGUUUCCUCUG